rnacentral:rRNA from 1 species
AGUGAACACUGGCGGCGUGCUUAACACAUGCAAGUCGAACGAGAACGGAUUAUAGCUUGCUAUAAUUGUCAGCUAAGUGGCGCACGGGUGAGUAAUGUAUAGGUAAUAUGCCUCUUACUAAGGGAUAACAAAUGGAAACAUUUGCUAAUACCUUAUACUCCUUAUUAACAGAAGUUAAUAAGGGAAAGAUUUAUUGGUAAGAGAUUAGCCUGUAUUGUAUCAGUUAGUUGGUGGGGUAAUGGCUUACCAAGACUAUGACACAUAACUGGUUUGAGAGGAUGAUCAGUCACACUGGAACUGAGACACGGUCCAGACUCCCACGGGAGGCAGCAGUGGGGAAUAUUGCACAAUGGACGAAAGUCUGAUGCAGCAACGCCGCGUGGAGGAUGACACAUUUCGGUGCGUAAACUCCUUUUAUAUGAGAAGAUAAUGACGGUAUUAUAUGAAUAGGCACCGGCCAACUCCGUGCCAGCAGCCGCCGUAA